rfam:Ictidomys tridecemlineatus contig038743, whole genome shotgun sequence.
GGGAUUGUGGCUAAGUGGUAGAGCACUUGCCUAGCAUGCGUGAGGCCCUGGGUUUGAUUCUCAGCACCACCU